GAUGAACGCUGGCGGUAUGCCUAACACAUGCAAGUCGUACGAGAGUUUUUAACUCUAGUGGCGGACGGGUGAGUAACACGUGAGAAUUUGCCUUUAGGAGGGGACAACAAUCGGAAACGAAUGCUAAUACCCCAUAUGCUUUUGAGUGAAACGGAUUUAUCCGCCUAGAGAGAAGCUCGCGGCUGAUUAGCUUGUUGGUAAGGUAAGAGCUUACCAAGGCGACGAUCAGUAUCUGGUUUGAGAGGACGAUCAGACACACUGGAACUGAGACACGGUCCAGACUCCUACGGGAGGCAGCAGUGGGGAAUUUUCCGCAAUGGGCGAAAGCCUGACGGAGCAAUACCGCGUGAGGGAAGACUGCCUAUGGGUUGUAAACCUCUUUUUUCAGGGAGGAAUAAAUGACGUGUACCUGAAGAAUAAGCAUCGGCUAACUCCGUG
rnacentral:rRNA from 1 species